ACUAUAGCCGCCAGGCUCCUCUGUCCAUGGAUUCUCCAGGCGGGUUCCUUACCACCAGCACCACCUGGGAAGCCCCCUAGGACACUUAUAUCGGGAACCAGUGGACACCAAGCAGGCCCAAAGACUCCUUCAGACUAUAAAGAAAGCUGAAUGCAG